CCUAGUCUCAACCAUAAACGAUGCCGACCAGGGAUCGGCGGAUGUUGCUUAUAGGACUCCGCCGGCACCUUAUGAGAAAUCAAAGUCUUUGGGUUCCGGGGGGAGUAUGGUCGCAAGGCUGAAACUUAAAAUAAUGGACGGAAGGGCACCACCAGGCGUGGAGCCUGCGGCUUAAUUUGACUCAACACGGGGAAACUUACCAGGUCCAGACAUAGCAAGGAUUGACAGACUGAGAGCUCUUUC
rnacentral:ncRNA from 1 species